rnacentral:rRNA from 1 species
CCUACGGGAGGCAGCAGUGGGGAAUAUUGGGCAAUGGGCGCAAGCCUGACCCAGCCACGCCGCGUGAAGGAAGAAGGCUCUCGGGAUGUUAACCUCCUUUAAGCGGGAAGAGAAGAUGACGGUACCUCCUGCAUAAGGUAUGGCUAACUACGUGCCAGCAGCCGCGGCAAUACGUAGGUGGGCAGCGAUGUCCGGAUUUACUGGGUGUAAAGGGUGUGUAGUGGGGCGGAAAAGUCAGGUGUGAAAUGCCGGGGGUCAACCCCGGUCCUGCAUUUGAAACUGUUGGUCUUGAGUAUCGGAGAGGCAGGCGGAAUUCCUGGUGUAGCGGUGAAAUGCGUAGAUAUUAGGAAGAACACCGGUGGCGAAGGCAGCCUGCUGGACGGCAACUGACGGUGAGGCGCGAAAGCGUGGGGAGCGAACAGGAUUAGAUACCCUUGUAGUC